AUUGAACGCUGGCGGCAUGCCUUACACAUGCAAGUCGAACGGCAGCACGGGAGCAAUCCUGGUGGCGAGUGGCGAACGGGUGAGUAAAGUAUCGGAACGUGCCCAGUCGUGGGGGAUAACGUAGCGAAAGUUACGCUAAUACCGCAUACGAUCUAUGGAUGAAAGCGGGGGAUCGCAAGACCUCGCGCGAUUGGAGCGGCCGAUAUCAGAUUAGGUAGUUGGUGGGGUAAAGGCUCACCAAGCCGACGAUCUGUAGCUGGUCUGAGAGGACGAACAAGCAAAAUGGGACUGGGGAAACGCCCAGAAUCCUACGGGAGGGAGGAGGGGGGAAUUUUGGAAAAAGGGGGGAAGGCUGAUCCAGGCAUGGCGCGUGGAGGAUGAAGGGCUUCGGGUUUUAAACUGGUUUUGGUCGGAACGAAAAGGUUUGGCCUAAUAAGCUGAGCUCAUGACGGUACCGUAAGAAUAAGCACCGGCUAACUACGUGCCAGCAGCCGCAGUAA
rnacentral:rRNA from 1 species